rnacentral:lncRNA from 1 species
AAAGAAAUACAUGUGCGAUGUGCGAGUCAAAGCUCUAGUAAAUUUUUUAAAAAUCAAGUGCAAACAAUAAAUAAGAAAUAUAAAUGGUCAAAUGCCACGAAAUUAUAGUCACACAUUACAAAUGGUUAAAUAAAAAAAAUAAACUGGAAUAUCAAAAAAGAAGAUUAGGAAAAACAUAUAACAAUACAUUGCAAAUGAAUACAUUUUGAAACUUAAACUCGCAAGAAUGUUUGCUUUUAUUAUAACAAUGACUUAAAAUUUGAAUACCUUAUUGAAUUUUAUAUAUAGAGUAAGAUAUAGUUGCCCUGUUAAAAAAGAUAUAGAAUGCCACUGAAAUGAUUUUAAUUAUAGAGUUUAAAAGAAAAAUAAUGUAUCAUUAGCAAUGCAUGCUCCGUAUGUUU